AGUGAACGCUGGCGGUAGGCCUAACACAUGCAAGUCGAACGGCAGCACAGUAAGAGCUUGCUCUUACGGGUGGCGAGUGGCGGACGGGUGAGGAAUACAUCGGAAUCUACUUUUUCGUGGGGGAUAACGUAGGGAAACUUACGCUAAUACCGCAUACGACCUACGGGUGAAAGCAGGGGAUCUUCGGACCUUGCGCGAUUGAAUGAGCCGAUGUCGGAUUAGCUAGUUGGCGGAGUAAAGGCCCACCAAGGCGACGAUCCGUAGCUGGUCUGAGAGGAUGAUCAGCCACACUGGAACUGAGACACGGUCCAGACUCCUACGGGAGGCAGCAGUGGGGAAUAUUGGACAAUGGGCGCAAGCCUGAUCCAGCCAUACCGCGUGGGUGAAGAAGGCCUUCGGGUUGUAAAGCCCUUUUGUUGGGAAAGAAAAGCAGCAGGUUAAUACCCCGCUGUCCUGACGGUACCCAAAGAAUAAGCACCGGCUAACUUCGUG
rnacentral:rRNA from 1 species